CCGAUAUGCUUCGGGGAGCUGUAAGUAAGCUUUGAUCCGGAGAUUUCCGAAUGGGGAAACCCCCUAUCCGUAAUGGGAUAGGAUCUUUACCUGAAUACAUAGGGUAUGGAAGGCAGACCCGGGGAACUGAAACAUCUAAGUACCCGGAGGAAGAGAAAGCAAACGCGAUUCCCUGAGUAGCGGCGAGCGAAACGGGAUUAGCCCAAACCAGGAGG
rnacentral:rRNA from 1 species